CAUGCAGUCGAGCGCACCCUUCGGGGCGAGCGGCGGACGGGUUAGUAACGCGUGGGAACGUACCCAGAUCUACGGAAUAGCCUCGGGAAACUGAGAGUAAUACCGUAUACGCCCUUCGGGGGAAAGAUUUAUCGGAUUUGGAUCGGCCCGCGUUAGAUUAGAUAGUUGGUGGGGUAACGGCCUACCAAGUCUACGAUCUAUAGCUGGUUUUAGAGGAUGAUCAGCAACACUGGGACUGAGACACGGCCCAGACUCCUACGGGAGGCAGCAGUGGGGAAUCUUAGACAAUGGGCGAAAGCCUGAUCUAGCGAUGCCGCGUGAGUGAUGAAGGCCUUAGGGUCGUAAAGCUCUUUCGCCAGGGAUGAUAAUGACAGUACCUGGUAAAGAAACCCCGGCUAACUCCGUGCCAGCAGCCGCGGUAAUACGGAGGGGGUUAGCGUUGUUCGGAAUUACUGGGCGUAAAGCGCACGUAGGCGGACCGAAAAAGUUG
rnacentral:rRNA from 1 species